GUAACACGAGUUAUCAAAAUUGAGUUGCAGUAUAUGUUA
rnacentral:sRNA from 1 species